rnacentral:ncRNA from 1 species
UUGGUUCCGGUUCACCCCGCUGACGUCGUGCCGACGCGCGACCGGGGACCCGGCGGCC